CCGGUCGAGGUAGAGGGGCCGACCCAGUGUGUAUGUGUAUAUAGAAAUUGUACAUAUCUGUUUGCCCCACUAGAGUUGCUAGGCUCGUUGUUUGAAGUUUGUCUAGGCUUCUGAAAUCUAGGGCCGACACUGAGAAACCCAAAAUGUUCUGGCAGUUCCUUUUUCUCUUCCUAAAAAAACUCAAAACCAAUUGAAUUUGGGUAAAACUAUGCACUUAAGGAUUAAUCAAGCGACUAAGGAAAUUUUUUAGCAAAAAAGCGACCAUGGAAUAUAUAGUAGAUUUCGCUUGUAUACAAAUUCUUAGCCCAACCAGCAAAUCAAACACAUGGGCUCUCCUACUCGAGAAAACCAUGGGCGGUCCAGCCCAAUACGAUCGCUGAAACCAGCUUAGCCCAGUGACAUGGUAUAGGGCAAUCACGUGGUAAGAAGACUGUAAAAAUAUUUCCCUAAAAAAGAACUUUGUGGAAAUGUGAGAUAAUGUGGAGACAACAGAGGAUCAAGAAUUCCGAAGAUGGCCCCGAAAAAAGAAACGAAGCUGGUUUCUGGGUUUGUGCACCGCGGCAGAUGGGUAUCACGUCAUAUUUGCCACGGGAAUCAUAACGGGUGAACAUCAGUUGGGCGAGAUGCAGGGGCAGCCGUUUGAUCUGCAGUGGCUUAUACUGUAUUUGCCAUGUGGCCCCACAUUUUUUCUUUCUUUUUUUUGCCACUAGCAUGGUGGCCGCUAGACCUCAUGAUUGUUGUUAUAUUUUUUUUUACGUGUACUGAUGACUUUUUUAUUUUACAUCUCUUUUUAUUCCCGGCCAUAUUGGUAUAUUCUUUCUGGUUGGGUUUAUAUGGCGCGCACCAAAAUUUAUAAGGGACUUUGGCAAAAUAUUACUUGAUAAUACGACGUUAUUGCAACACAAAAGAGAUAUCGUUGUAUUCGUAUUGGAAAACUCAAUCAAUAGAAACGUUUAUAUACCUACAUCUUUUUUAUAAUUAUUCGUCAAAAUUUGUCACAAAAUUCAAUGCAGGGCUUAUAAAUCCGGAUGGAGUGAGUAUAAUUCACUGAUAUUGUAUUUUGUCCAUUACAUGUCUAUUCAUCAUAUUUUUAAUUCUAAAAUCGAAGACAUGAUUUUUUUAUACCUAAGGGCUUCCAUGGCGUGCCAAAAACCAAAUUUGCCAUAUAACUCCAAUUUGGCAUCGAUGCAAAGUUUUAGUUUUCCUGCAGUGUAGAGGAUGCCAAACUUACGCGUAGAUUAGAUCCACAAAAGAAUGAAUUAAUUACUCAUUUUCCUUAUCCCUUCUUCUUUCCCAACCUCACUUUCCCAUCAAAUUCUCGUACCCCAAAUCUACCAGCACCCCACUUCACCGCCUCCGCUCGCGGCCCUGCACCUCCUCCGCUCCUCCGCCACGC
rnacentral:lncRNA from 1 species